CUUCCGUGACAUCUUCAAUAGUAACAUAGCAUAUAAUCUUUACAAAAGAUUCAUUUAGUGAAAAACAUAACUCGUCUCACCAUAAGGUGGGACUAACAUUACAUAAUUUGAGUUGACGUAAUAACAUAUAAAAUCACGUCAUCUAUUCGAGAGACGAAAUUAAAGUUUUCCAAUAACUAGGAGCAUGAACCAAAACAUCAUCAAUGAGAUGAAUAAUUAAGUCAUCUCCAAAAGUUAGUGGAAUAAAUCCAAUAGUUUUGACUUUAAUCUCCUUUGCAUUAGUGAUGUGUAUGAUGGCACAUGCGUCCUCUCCCAAUGUCUGCCUUAUCAUCAUGAUUAAAAAAAAUCCUUCAGCCUUAUUGGCAGAAAAACGUUGGGAGAUUCCUUACAUGAUACAAUGAUCUCCACUCUCCAUGUGGGAAAGAUAUUUACAUAUAUUUACAUAAGGUUCUUCUAUGCCAAACAAAAGUUUGACAUCGUUAUUAUUGCUGGAAAGAGGAGACAACUUUAUGAUCAUUAUAACAAAAAAAAAUCAAGCAUGAACUAACCAUGCAAUGCCAUGAAUAAAAACAUGCUUAAUGUUUAUUCUAAUCCGUAUCACCGUUGGGCAGAUAACGAAAAAGAACCUUACUUAUUCAUAAAUGACACAUGAAAAAACAUAAUCAAUGUUGGUCAGAAUAUCAUCAUGUGCCAUUAAAACAUUUGCUCAUUAAAUCUCUAAUCAAAACUUCUCGUUGGUUCCAUUUUGACUAGAGAUAUGUAAAAUCUCGUAAUGACCAGCAAGAACUAUGACUAAAUUAAUUGCCAUCAUUAACAUAAAGCAACAUCAUAAUAUAAUCAUUUGUGCCAUGAGUGAUGCCUUUUGACACUAAAUCUCACAACGAUAAUAUAAAUAUUGAACCUAAGUGUCAAAAUUAUCAUUAAAAUUCUCAAUGUCAUACAAUGAAAAUGGUAUUGGAAUUAACAUAAAAAUAUAAAUCUCACACCCACAUAGUAAUCAUUAAAGAGGACAUUCAGAGUGAAAAUGUCAUAAAUAUAAAUCAUCAUAAGAAUUUUCAAAAUUAUAAAAUUUAGAUAUUAAUAAUUUUCAAAUAAACGACCUUGAAAAAAAAACUGAACAAAGUUUCUUCAUUGAGAGAAUUGAUCAUAACCCAUUAACAUCAUUUUGGACCCAUUAUGAAUAUUUGAGAGGUGCACAUCAUAAUAAAAAAGGCAUGAAUUGCACCAACCAACAACUUUCGUUUUGCUCAAUAGGCAUAUUGCCCCAACAUAAUUAUGACACAUAGUGCGGUGGAAAACAAAAAAGAACCACGCGUCCAUCAUCAUUUUCCUUGAGGUGGCCUGAGCCCAUUAGAAAUGACCACAUCUUUAAGAAAUGUCGUAAGUGUGGCAUCAACAUUAAAUUCACACUCAAUCAAAUUUUACAAAUAAAAUAUUUAGAAAAUUCAAUGAGCGAUUCAUAAUUGUGCUCAAUAUUAAUAUCCUCUUAUAACAUUAAUUUCACCAUUGAAAUGAUACUAGAAAAGGUUUCAUCAUUAAAAAAAGUACCACCAAAAAAAAACAUGAACAUUAAUGUCACAUUAAAUCUUCCAAAUAAAAUUUCCCGUUGGUUCCAUUUUAUUCAGAAAAUUUAAAAAACAUAAUUUCAACAUAAUUAUAGGUAAUUCCAAAACUUUUUUAGUGCAUACACAUUAUUAGGAACUUAACAAAUGCACUAAAACUGCAUAAUAUGCCUAAAAAUAUAUAAUUUGACCCAUAACAACCCACGGCUUUCAAUUAAUAAAAUUUCAUCAUCAUUAAAUGAUUGCCAUAAAAGGGACAUAAACGUUAUUUACAAAAAUUUCAAACAUGACAUUUAGCAUAGUUUUGGCAAUUAAAACAUAUUAACAGUACAUUAUUAAAAUAUUAACAACAUGAAUUUAAUGCAACAAAAAUAAUUGCCCAAAACACAUGAUUUGGCCCAUAGAUUUCCAUUAACUUUAUCAUCAUUAACAUUAUUAGAAAUAAUUUUGGGCACUUUUUUUUAUAUCACAGUGCAUAAAACAUUAUAGAAUAAUCUUAAUACCCAUAAAAUGCACUGGAAAAAACUAAAACUGCCAAAACAAAAAUGAUUUGGUCAACAACAGGCGAAGGGAGCACGUUAAAGAUCCGGCCCAGCAGCAGCUAUUCUCAAAAACUGACCACACACAAAAAAAACAUGGGCUGCCAGCAUAACCUGGGCCUAAGCCCAGAGCCGAAACAGGCUCUUUUAGCGGCCGUAGGCCUGUCUUCCACUCCGCGUAGAUCUGCGCCGUCCGAUCAAAUUGACGAUCCAGAUCGAGCGGGGUCGGAACAAAACUGGCCAGGACUUAACCCUAAAUCAUUUCUUCUUCCUCCCCUUCCGUUUUUUUCGCCCUACCAGCGAGUGAGCGGCGCGGUGGCCCGUGGCACACCGGUCCAUGGCGGCGUGGUGGCUUUGUUCGCCGGAGCAGCAUGCUGUGAAUUGAAUCCCGCACGCUCCUCCAUCGAACAUGGCGGCCCACGUCGCGCGCAUGGCAUAGAGGCGGAGAGAUUGGAGGGCCGAGCGCCGACGCCUGUGCUUGAGGAUUUGACGACGACGUGUGCGGCGCGGAGGCCACUCAGCGUGCGUGUCCGUAAGAUGCGGCGCCGGCUGCCUCGUCUCUUUUUGCAUGCCGUCCCGAGAGAUGGCGUGUUUCGGCCAAGAUGAGCACGCAUGGAGGCGGCCAUGGUGAGUACGCAUGGCUGCUGUCAUCAAUAACGUUCUGACGGAAGCCUUGUUCCUGCUUGAUGCACUCCUCAUGUAGCCUAUGGCUACACCUUGCCUCGAAACAUGAAGAUGGUUGGAGAAGAAGUGCUGGAACAGGACCUCAAAGCAAGCAGCAGGAGCGCCGCAGUAGGACUGGCCGCCGGCACUGACCUUGCGGUGGCCGGCGGUGGUAGUCGGUCUUCUGAUCACCUUGAGCGCCUUCUUUUAAGGAUCGGUUGUUAGCAAGUUGAAUGACCCGGACAUGUGUGUGUUUUUUUAAAGGGGUACAUCCUGCUCAUUAUAUAGGUGGCGCUAAAGGGAUCAGGGACCGAAACCAACAGCUGGAUUUGGUGCCUCCGAUCAUGGCACAUACGUGGGGUAAAAAGGGUCCCCCUUUUUCUUUCGGUCAGUUAUGACCUGAGAUCAAAAUUCCAACAGCC